GGGUUAGCUUAUAUGCCAAUAAGUUAAUAAGUAGUUUUUUAAAAAGUGUUUGGCUUAGCUUAUUUAUGUAAAAUGACCAAAAAGGACAUCCCUUUAAAAAGUGUUUGGUUUAGCCAUAGUUGUUAAAAGCCAUCGCCUCUUGCGACUAGGCCCAUUUUUCAGGCGAGGCGAGGCAGUUGCGCUUUAAGUUGAGGAAAUUGCGCUUUAACUCUCUAGGUGAUGGUUCAGGCACACAUUCCGCCAAGACGCCUAGAUUCCGGAGAGUUUCCGGCUAAAUUCCGACAAGAUUCUAGCCAAAUUUCUACUUUUAAUCAAGGAAAACUAAUUUAUAACACUAAUAAACUAAUAUUUUGGUACUAAUUAGAUGAUAUAAAGUGUUACAUAAUAGACUUUGUUUAUUUUAUUUGAAUAAUAGUAUUUUUUUUUCUAAUACAUAAUAUAUUUUUUAAAUUUUUUCAUUAUGCGCUAUUUUUUUCUCAGGCCCUCGCUUUUUUUGCGCUUUGCGCCUAGGCCCCAAGCGAGGCCUGAGUGCCUUGAGUGCGCCUAAUGCCUUUAAUAACUAUGGGUUUAGCUUAUAUAAUUUUUUCUCUCUAGACACCAAUCCACCAUAUACUCACCAACAAGGCAUAUAAGUUCGUAGAAAGCCUAUACAGUCUCAUAAUGUACGUUUCUAAAUUCACCAACCGGUACAAUAUAAUCAGCAUGCAGCAGCUAUUUGUUUCUAGGUUAUAGCAACUAUAGGAAUCACACAUCCUACUUAAAUCAAAACUUAUUAGUGUCCUUGAUAUGUCAUAAAGUUUUGAACGACUACAACCCGGUGACGAAGCUUGAAAAUUUCCACCGGGGGGUCAGAAGUCACCGGACCUAAUAUUUGGGGGGUCGAAACGUAUAUACCUAAGAAAUUCUAUACGACACGUACAUACAUAACACUACUGAGUGAAAAAUUCCCCCGGCCCCUUGAAAGCUGCGCCCCUGCUACAUCCUACACUUUGUUUGCAUAGAUAAUCUCUCAUCACAAUACUAACCUAAGGUGACUUUUCUAUCCGAUUAACACCAUACAAAAACAGAUAUAUUUCAAACUUGACCCAAGAACUCCAAACAACUUCCCAGUUCCCCUAGGUUACAUCUUAUAAAGUGCAUAUGCAAAUAUAUAAAAAAAAAAAAAAAAAAAAAGCAUUUCACCUAUGAAAAUAUGAAAUUCAAACUUUCAACAGAAGAUAUACCACAAGUCUACAGCAUAUUAAAGUAUAGAUUACCUACUCGUAUAACAGUAGAUAUACAAUUAGGUAUAUAAUACAACGAUAAGAUAUAUGAUCAGAUCAUAAACACCAAAAAAAGCAUAUGAAAGUAACAAUCAGGCAGCAAAAGGUUGAAGUAACGAACUAGAAACAGCAACAGCAGCAACAAGGAUUGAAAUUGUUAUAAAAAACAUCAACAGCAGCAACGAGCAUUAUUACCUUUUGCGGAUGAUGAUGAUCUUUAGGGUUUUACGGAAGAAUGGAGAGUAGAGUGAGCGUUGAUUCUGUCUCCGGCGUCAAACCAGUUGUACGCCGUCUUCAGUGUGGCAUAUCGGCAGAGAUUGGGAGUGGCUGGUAUGGUAGAUGGCGGAGUAAUUGA
rnacentral:lncRNA from 1 species